AUUGAACGCUGGCGGCAUGCCUUACACAUGCAAGUCGAACGGCAGCGGGGGAGAAGCUUGCUUUUCCUGCCGGCGAGUGGCGAACGGGUGAGUAAUACAUCGGAACGUGCCCUGUCGUGGGGGAUAACUAGUCGAAAGAUUAGCUAAUACCGCAUACGACCUGAGGGUGAAAGCGGGGGACCGCAAGGCCUCAUUCUAUAAGACCGGUCGAGGUCUGAUUAGCUAGUUGGUGGGGUAAAGGCCUACCAAGGCGACGAUCAGUAGCUGGUCUGAGAGGACGAUCAGCCACACUGGGACUGAGACACGGCCCAGACUCCUACGGGAGGCAGCAGUGGGGAAUUUUGGACAAUGGGCGAAAGCCUGAUCCAGCAAUGCCGCGUGUGUGAAGAAGGCCUUCGGGUUGUAAAGCACUUUUGUCCGGAAAGAAAUGGCUCUGGUUAAUACCUGGGGUCGAUGACGGUACCGGAAGAAUAAGGACCGGCUAACUACGUGCCAGCCGCCGCCGUAA
rnacentral:rRNA from 1 species